CUUGUGCAUGCAAUCGCUUAUGGCUUGAGUCCCAAUUUUCACUUUGUAAUUUGGUUACCUACAAUAGCCGGAGGGUGUACAUAUGUUCAGUAAACUAUCAGUUCUCUAACUUCUGUUUGCCGGUAUCAUCUCUUUAGGAAAAAGAGAGACAACAUUUCAGUGAUUCCUCAUAACUAAAAAUGACCAGAGUGGAAAGAGCAGAAUCAAAAUUCCUUCAUAGGAACCUGGAAGCCUCUCCUCUUCUGACGUUCCUUCCUUCCAUUCCAUUCACUCAGUGGUAAAGAUGAAAAAGGAAAGGAUAAUCAGUGUUGGAAGGACCAAGGGAAGAUAAUUGGUGUCAUCUCAGUGGAUCUAAAAAUAGUAUGAUCAUUCUUCAGUUCAAUCUGGAAUUAAACAAGAAAGGCUAGGAAAGGACUCUGGUAUCCGUUCUGGAUUUUUCUGAAAGUAGCCCUGGAUAAUGUGAAUGAGCCAUGGGCAUCUGCUUCCAGAGGAAUUGUGGCAGAUGAAGAGACAGCUGGGAAAGGAUGAAAUUGUCUCUAAACUUCUAUGCCUUGGUGUGGGAUAUGAGCUCCUCAUUAGCAGCCUUGCAGAAAACAAUUACAGGAAGCCUAGAUUAGAAGACAGCUUGAUCUCAAACUGUGUGAGAAGGUGGACCAGAUCAGGAUUAAAAGAAGAUUCAAUGGAUCUACCAAGAAGGAGGAAACAAGGAAAAUGAAUGUCUAUUAGACCCUCGGGGAAGAUUUUCAACAGAUGAGGAAAUUGAGGUCCAAAGAAGAAUUUGGCCAAGGUCAUAGCAGGUAAAAAGCAUAAAAAAGGGGAUUUGACUUCUGAACCAUCAACUCUAAAUACAAGACUCCUACUACUAUAUCAACAGGACCCCACUAAACCUCAGAACUUGCCUUCCUUAUAGUGACAAAAAAAAGAAAAAAUCCAAUUUAUAUAGUCUAAACUGUGUAAAAAAAAUUAUAUUUUUUCUUAGCUUCUGCUGGAAGUUAAAUAGAGAAUGAAUUGCUCAGUUAAUUUUCUAAUCCCAAGGCUGAGGGAGAAAAAAAGAGAGACUUAGCUGAAAAAAAAAGUUUCUACCUUUGGGAGAGACUGGGAAUAGAAAUAGAAGGAAAUGUGUUGUCUCUCUCUGUUACAUGCUGAUUAAUUCUGCUUUUAUUAUCAUUUCCCUAAUUUAAUUAAAUGCUUAUUCUAGUAUAUCUUUGAUGUACCAAUGAAGCACAACAUCCAGUAAUGUAAAGAUUAGGAAGAGCAAGGAGAAUGAGGACCCAAGCCCCAAAUCUAAUGAGUGGAAGUAUUAACCUAUCCCCUAGAUGGAGGGUUCUUAACCCAAGGUUGGGAAACUU
rnacentral:lncRNA from 1 species